AUGGCGCCCAAGGCCGAGAAGAAGCCUGCUGCAGAGAAGAAGUUGGUGAAGUCGGAGAAGAAGCCCAAGGCGGAGAAGCACGUGCCCGGGAAGGAGGGCGACACUAACAAGAAGAAGGCCAAGAAGAGCAAUGAGACAUACAAGAUCUACAUCUUCAAGGUGCUCAAGCAGAUUGACCCGAACAUGGGUAUCUCCUCCAAAUCAAUGUCCAUCAUCAACUCCAUCAUCAACGACAUCUUUGAGAGGCUCGCCGGCGAGUCGGCAAAGCUCGCACGCUACAACAAGAAGCCCACCAUCACCUCCCGGGAGAUCCAGACUGCCGUGCGCCUUGUCCUUCCAGGCGAGCUUGCCAAGCACGCCGUCUCCGAGGGAACCAAGGCCGUUACCAGAUUCACCGUGUAUUAG
rnacentral:rRNA from 1 species